rnacentral:piRNA from 1 species
UGGUUGUAGAGGGUUAGAGUCCGC